rnacentral:rRNA from 1 species
GGGUUGUGAGGUUAAGCGACUAAGCGUACACGGUGGAUGCCCUGGCAGUCAGAGGCGAUGAAGGACGUGCUAAUCUGCGAUAAGCGUCGGUAAGGUGAUAUGAACCGUUAUAACCGGCGAUUUCCGAAUGGGGAAACCCAGUGUGAUUCGUCACACUAUCAUUAACUGAAUCCAUAGGUUAAUGAGGCGAACCGGGGGAACUGAAACAUCUAAGUACCCCGAGGAAAAGAAAUCAACCGAGAUUCCCCCAGUAGCGGCGAGCGAACGGGGAGCAGCCCAGAGCCUGAAUCAGUGUGUGUGUUAGUGGAAGCGUCUGGAAAGGCGCGCGAUACAGGGUGACAGCCCCGUACACAAAAAUGCACAUGCUGUGAGCUCGAUGAGUAGGGCGGGACACGUGGUAUCCUGUCUGAAUAUGGGGGACCAUCCUCCAAGGCUAAAUACUCCUGACUGACCGAUAGUGAACCAGUACCGUGAGGGAAAGGCGAAAAGAACCCCGGCGAGGGGAGUGAAAAAGAACCUGAAACCGUGUACGUACAAGCAGUGGGAGCACGCUUAGGCGUGUGACUGCGUACCUUUUGUAUAAUGGGUCAGCGACUUAUAUUCUGUAGCAAGGUUAACCGAAUAGGGGAGCCGAAGGGAAACCGAGUCUUAACUGGGCGUUAAGUUGCAGGGUAUAGACCCGAAACCCGGUGAUCUAGCCAUGGGCAGGUUGAAGGUUGGGUAACACUAACUGGAGGACCGAACCGACUAAUGUUGAAAAAUUAGCGGAUGACUUGUGGCUGGGGGUGAAAGGCCAAUCAAACCGGGAGAUAGCUGGUUCUCCCCGAAAGCUAUUUAGGUAGCGCCUCGUGAAUUCAUCUCCGGGGGUAGAGCACUGUUUCGGCAAGGGGGUCAUCCCGACUUACCAACCCGAUGCAAACUGCGAAUACCGGAGAAUGUUAUCACGGGAGACACACGGCGGGUGCUAACGUCCGUCGUGAAGAGGGAAACAACCCAGACCGCCAGCUAAGGUCCCAAAGUCAUGGUUAAGUGGGAAACGAUGUGGGAAGGCCCAGACAGCCAGGAUGUUGGCUUAGAAGCAGCCAUCAUUUAAAGAAAGCGUAAUAGCUCACUGGUCGAGUCGGCCUGCGCGGAAGAUGUAACGGGGCUAAACCAUGCACCGAAGCUGCGGCAGCGACACUAUGUGUUGUUGGGUAGGGGAGCGUUCUGUAAGCCUGUGAAGGUGUACUGUGAGGUAUGCUGGAGGUAUCAGAAGUGCGAAUGCUGACAUAAGUAACGAUAAAGCGGGUGAAAAGCCCGCUCGCCGGAAGACCAAGGGUUCCUGUCCAACGUUAAUCGGGGCAGGGUGAGUCGACCCCUAAGGCGAGGCCGAAAGGCGUAGUCGAUGGGAAACAGGUUAAUAUUCCUGUACUUGGUGUUACUGCGAAGGGGGACGGAGAAGGCUAUGUUGGCCGGGCGACGGUUGUCCCGGUUUAAGCGUGUAGGCUGGUUUUCCAGGCAAAUCCGGAAAAUCAAGGCUGAGGCGUGAUGACGAGGCACUACGGUGCUGAAGCAACAAAUGCCCUGCUUCCAGGAAAAGCCUCUAAGCAUCAGGUAACAUCAAAUCGUACCCCAAACCGACACAGGUGGUCAGGUAGAGAAUACCAAGGCGCUUGAGAGAACUCGGGUGAAGGAACUAGGCAAAAUGGUGCCGUAACUUCGGGAGAAGGCACGCUGAUAUGUAGGUGAAGUCCCUCGCGGAUGGAGCUGAAAUCAGUCGAAGAUACCAGCUGGCUGCAACUGUUUAUUAAAAACACAGCACUGUGCAAACACGAAAGUGGACGUAUACGGUGUGACGCCUGCCCGGUGCCGGAAGGUUAAUUGAUGGGGUCAGCGCAAGCGAAGCUCUUGAUCGAAGCCCCGGUAAACGGCGGCCGUAACUAUAACGGUCCUAAGGUAGCGAAAUUCCUUGUCGGGUAAGUUCCGACCUGCACGAAUGGCGUAAUGAUGGCCAGGCUGUCUCCACCCGAGACUCAGUGAAAUUGAACUCGCUGUGAAGAUGCAGUGUACCCGCGGCAAGACGGAAAGACCCCGUGAACCUUUACUAUAGCUUGACACUGAACAUUGAGCCUUGAUGUGUAGGAUAGGUGGGAGGCUUUGAAGUGUGGACGCCAGUCUGCAUGGAGCCGACCUUGAAAUACCACCCUUUAAUGUUUGAUGUUCUAACGUUGACCCGUGAUCCGGGUUGCGGACAGUGUCUGGUGGGUAGUUUGACUGGGGCGGUCUCCUCCUAAAGAGUAACGGAGGAGCACGAAGGUUGGCUAAUCCUGGUCGGACAUCAGGAGGUUAGUGCAAUGGCAUAAGCCAGCUUGACUGCGAGCGUGACGGCGCGAGCAGGUGCGAAAGCAGGUCAUAGUGAUCCGGUGGUUCUGAAUGGAAGGGCCAUCGCUCAACGGAUAAAAGGUACUCCGGGGAUAACAGGCUGAUACCGCCCAAGAGUUCAUAUCGACGGCGGUGUUUGGCACCUCGAUGUCGGCUCAUCACAUCCUGGGGCUGAAGUAGGUCCCAAGGGUAUGGCUGUUCGCCAUUUAAAGUGGUACGCGAGCUGGGUUUAGAACGUCGUGAGACAGUUCGGUCCCUAUCUGCCGUGGGCGCUGGAGAACUGAGGGGGGCUGCUCCUAGUACGAGAGGACCGGAGUGGACGCAUCACUGGUGUUCGGGUUGUCAUGCCAAUGGCACUGCCCGGUAGCUAAAUGCGGAAGAGAUAAGUGCUGAAAGCAUCUAAGCACGAAACUUGCCCCGAGAUGAGUUCUCCCUGACUCCUUGAGAGUCCUGAAGGAACGUUGAAGACGACGACGUUGAUAGGCCGGGUGUGUAAGCGCAGCGAUGCGUUGAGCUAACCGGUACUAAUGAACCGUGAGGCUUAACCUUACAACGCCGAAGCUGUU